UUUUUUUCUUCUCAUUUUGGGUUUUUCUUCUAGAGGUAAAUCUGUGAAGCAGGCUGAAUCCAUCUCUAGCAUCGCUGAACCAUGCUGGAUGGGCACAAAUGUGCACACAUAGAGAGAGGUUCUGUUUUGUCACCUCUAAUGUUAUUACCUGCCCCCGAAGUACCCACUGAAGCUGUGCACAUUACGUCAUACCUUUGUUCACUUCUUCUUAUACCCCUCCAAAACACAUCCCCCCAAAAAUGUAUCUGUCCAGGAGAGAAUCCUCUGACUUUCUCAUGAGUCUAAUUCAGGCAUGCAGUAAGUUAAAAGAAGAAUCCAGUUCAAUGAGUUUAUCUGAGAAAUGCAACGAUUUAAUUAUUUAAUCCAUCUGGAAUUUAUUAUUUUACUAUGCAGUAAAAAUAGAGAAAAGAUGGAAAGCUACCCAAUUUGUCACAGAAAUUCACUUUUACCCUGAUAUAAAACAAACAAGAAAAUACUACAUAAACGUAUGUAGUACCAAUUGCCCUAUGCGUUCAAAACCCUUUGUAAAAGACUUGCAAAACAAUUCAAUUCAAACUACAUCAGAAGUGAAAUUUUGCUGUCUAUUAAGAUGGUUGUGUGUUUUAUCUUGAGCAUAGAGAAUAGAAGCAGGGAAAGAAAGAGUUUGGAAAAAUACCAGGAUAUAUUAAGAGCUCCUUCAAGUGUCUGGUAUGAAGCAGGCAGUCUAGGGAUGUUGAGACCAUCCAAGGCCCCAGGGAAGACCUCUGCCAGCCUCCUAGAGAAAUGCCAAGGAGCUUCCCAAAGGGUGCUGGGACCCAGAGGCAGAUGGGAUACUGAUUUGGCUCAUGCUAAAUCAGUAUGUUUGUUAGGGGAGGUAAGCUCAAGACAGAUUGCCAUGAUGGGGGUGGAAGGCUCCAAACCUCAGGCAGCUGGGUCCAAAGAGCAUCAUCAUCACUUGGUGAGGCCACAUGACCUCCUGCUGACUGGGGCUGCCUCCGCUCUCUCUCUACCUCAAUCCAUGCUCCACACCACUAUCCACAUGAGCUUUCUGAGGUGAAAAUUCCAGCAUGCUACUCCCCUGAGUCAAAUAUCUCAAUAGCUCUCUGUCACCAACACACAGAGGUUAAAUGAUUUUAGUUAUUUAUUUAUUCAGAGAACAGGUCUCACUCUGUCACCACAGACUGGAGUGCAGUGGCACCAUCAUAACUCACUACAGCCUCGACCUCCCCAGCUCAAGUGAUCCUCCUGCCUCAGUGUCUGGAGUAGCUGGGACCACAGAUGCAUGCCACCAUGCCUGGCUAACUGUUCUACAUGUUUUUAUAGAGACAGGGUCUCACUGUGUACCCCAGGCUGGUCUCAAACUCUUGGCCCCAAGUGAUCCACCUGCCUCUGCCUCCCAAAGUGUUGGGAUUACAGGUGUGGGGCAGCACACCCAACCUAAUGGUUUUAUAAGAGUUCUGACUAGUGGGGACACCAUGCUCUCCACAUACCUUACAAGACAUAUCUACCCAAUGCGGGCCCAAUUCCACAAUGAGGCACAACGGGUCUUCACGACCUGGCCUCUGCUCAAGCUUUUAGAACCCUUUUUGCCAUCUCUCUCCUGUAGCCUGUUCUCUAAAACCAUUUUCAGUUUCUUGAACAUGCCCUGCUCUUUCUUAUCUCUGUGCCUUGCCAUAUGCAACCCUCUCGGCCUAAAGUUCCCAGCCUGAAUUAGGCUCUCUCUGCUGUUGGUAGUGCAGCUGUCUGGUCUGGACAGCUGGCAUAGUACUUAUUGUAAUGAAUUGGCUAUUGAUCCACCUCCCCUUCUAGAUUGGGAAUCCUCCAAGGGCAUGUUUUAUCCACUUUUGUGUUUCCAGUUCUAAUGCAGUGUCUAAAACAUGAUUGAUGUUCAAUAGGGUUUGGUGUAAUUUAUUAUGUCCAACAUUUACCUCCUUCCCCAAAAGACCUCAUGGUAUUGUUAGGGAAGACAGAAUGGUGUUAAUUCCCAAAGAACUAAGACCUUGAUGGGAAAAAAAAGGGUAAAAAGCUGUGGGGUUUCCAAAUAGGAAAUCCUAUCAGUUGCUCUACAUUUAUCAGCUUAGCCCAUUCAUUCAUUUAUUCAUUCAUUCAUUCAUUCAUUCAUUCAUUCAUUCAUUCAUUUUUGAACAAAAUCUAUUGAAUACUCUAGCGGUCAAGAUCAUUUAAAUUAUCCUGCAGUAACAAAUAACUCCAAAGUGGCAAACAUUCAGAACAACAAAUGCUUAUUUGUCACUUAGGCUACAUUUCCAGCAUGAGUUAGUGGGAGGGCAACACUCCAUACCCCAUCUCACAACUUUGCAGGCCUGGAGCACACGACCUUCUGGUGUGCAAGGGAAGAGCUGGUGGUGGAGGGUCUCUCAUCAGCUCUGUUAGGCUUCAACCUAGAAGUGACACUCAUCCCUUCUGCUCCCCAGCUGGUCGAUCGGAUGAGUCACAUGGCACCACCUAACAACAUGGAGGCUGGGAAACGUGGGCAGCUAAGAGCAAAUAUUUGGUAAGUAGCACUCGCCCUGCCUUGAGCUUCUACCAUGUUCAAGAUAUCAAGCUAAGCACUGAGGACAAAAUAAACAGACAUGUCCUCCAUUUUCUCCCUCAAGGAGUUCAUAGUCAACUGGGUGAUCGAAAGUUUAAGCAUGGACUUAAAAAUUAUCAGGCAGAUGUUCUGUCAGGCUUCUCAACACCUUCUCAGUAAUAAGCCGACCCCAGUGAGCCAAGUUUCAGAACCAAGCUCGUGAGAGUCCCAUGCAUUCAAUUCAGCCUCUUCAGUACAACACCCAGAUUUGCACAUUAACCCUUAAGGUGCAUUAGGACUGUGAAUUGUCAGCCUAGAUCCUGAGAAGGAUCAGGCUCUUUAUUUCUUCUUUUUCUUUCUUUCUAUUUUUUUUUUUGUCAGCCUCUUCGCCGCAACUCCCAACCCUCCGCCCACUUUAGAUGCAGGAUUCUGCUGUGAUUCCUCAUCUUCUCCUCUCUUCCCUUCUUCUCUAAGCAAGCUAUAAUCUUCUUUUUAUUUUUUUAACAGGAAUGUAUUUCUUGCCUAUUUCUCUGCACAAGGUAGGUGACAGCCUAAUAUAAAAUCAAAGUUUUGUAUUAUCUGGAGAGGCUGAGAAUAAAACCAAAUCCUCCUCUCAUGUCAGGAAACUUCCAGCUUUGAAGACUCAAGGAUAUCAUGACAGAAAGUCAAAAGUGCCCUAAAAAUGUAUAAAUAGACAUUUCUAAGUUUGAAUCCUAGUAUCCAUAUUGAGGCACAUCCCAAUGAAUUGCUUACCAUCUUUCUCCUCUUUUAUUUUCCCUGCAGCCUCCCACCCUCACCCUCUGUCAAUUGCCAGGUGACCUUCUGCUAUCGCAAGUGAUUCAGGUCCUCCAUCAAUGACUGAACUUCCAGACAGUCUCUUGUUUCAUAUCCAAGAAACCCCCCCUUUCCUCCCCCCCAAAAAACUACCUGUCCUGAGUCCCCUUUCUCCUCAGAUGACCUGUGCAUAAAAGGAACGAGGAGCACCGGCCUGGCCAACUGGUCGAACACCGAGAGGUAAAAGAUUAUGUGUGGGGAUCCAGGGCCCAGAGCAGCUCUAGGUAAGGAAAGGGAGGUCUGGCCAAGCCAAGCAGCCAGCUGGCUCUCUUGGCCACACAUUCCCAUCAGCUCUUCAUCAUGUACUGGUCUGGGAGAUGAAUGUGCUUGGAAGUCAUGGGGUGAAGAAAAUAAAGACCACAGAGGGGCUGCCUUGUGUUUCUCCUAUAUCAGCAACGGACACAAAGAUGGCUAUGGGAUCAAGAGCCACAGAUAGAGAUUUUUUUCUCCACUGUCAACCUCCUCUUUAAACAUUCCCCCUUUCCCAUAUAUGCAUUGAAUGUUAUGCCCUGUCAAUGGGCAAUUGUGUUUUCAGAAAGAGCUGCUCAGAAAGAACCUUGGGUAAUACAAAGGAAUGAAUGCUGGUGGCUGAAUUUCAGGUAUCUGUGAUUCUGUUGGUGAGAAAUAUAUUUUCAUGACUGCGGACCUCCCAGCAAGUCUAAAAGCAUACUGCAUAGGCUUAGGCAGCUGGCCUUACCCUGUCAGGUAGCACAUCUGAGGUUGCCACUGAAUGCAAAACCAUGAAACUAGUAUUUUGGUACAGUGUAUAGGGAAAACACAGCUCAUGAUGAGCUUAUGAUUUACAUGGGGAAAAAAGAAAGUUGCAGCCAGUUACUGGGGAUGUUUAAAGAGCAAGCGUAAGAGCUGAUAAGUGUGUAAAUCUCACUGCUCAAGUGAAUAGUGAUGUGAAAUGAAAAUAAUUCACAUAGCCUUUAAGAAGUUACUCAACUUUCUGGGUCACGCCUGUAAUCCCAGCACUUUGGGAGGCCGCAGAUCACGAGGUCAGGAGAUCGAGACCAUCCUGGCUGACACGGUGAAACCCCGUCUCAACUAAAAAUACAAAAAAUUAGCCGGGUGUGGUGGUGGGCGCCUGUAGUCCCAGCUACUCAAGAGGCUGAGGCAGGAGAAUGGCGUGAACCCGGGAGGCGGAGCUUGCAGUGAGCUGAGAUCGCGCCACUGCACUCCAGCCUGGGUGACAGAGCGAGACUCCGUCUCAAAAAAAAAAAAAAAAAAAGAAAGAAAAGAAGUUACUUAACUUUCCUGACUCAAACGUUCUGGAGAUUAUUCAAGUUGGAUACAACUUUAGAAAUUAUUCUUUUUAUUUUUUGAGGUGGAGUCUCACUCUGUUGCCAGGCUGGAGUGCAGUGGCGUGAUUUCAGCUCACUGCAACCUCUGCCUGCCCGGUCAACAUAGGGAUCAUCCACAAGAAGUGGUCGUGCAACCUCUCUUGAGCACACUCAGAGAUGGGCGUUUGUUGCUUUGUAAGCCACCUAUUCCACUGGAGAAUUAUUACAAUCGAUUAUCACACUGUUACUUUACCAACACCUAUGCCUCUAACUUGGUCAUCUUCAUCCUUUUGAGACAUUCAGGUAAACACGGAAGAUCUAAUAACCUAAAAGCACUGUAGGAGAUGGCAUGGUCGUCAGGUAAGGCCUGGGAGAAGUGGGCAGCAGUCUCAAUAUUUCCCCAGCACCCUCCAGCAGCUGCCCUCUCAUCAAUUGUCCUCCAUGUUACCAGCUCAUUUUCUCUUAUUCUCUCUGUUUUCUUAGUGUCAUCCACAGACACUAAACUAUGUGUCACUACAUUAAAAUUCCUUUUCAUAAGUGCUCAGUUUUUCCUCUUCCUCUUCCCUUCUUUACAGAUCAUAGCCCUCUGUGCUACAAUAAAGAGAUACUAAAAUACAAUUAACUUAAAUAUGAUGGUUUCUUUCUGUCUCACGGAGCAGUCUAGUGCCAGUCUUGGCUAGCAGAGCAACUCUUCUGCUCCACAAGCUCACUCAGGGACCCAGGUUUCUUUCCUUUCAUACUUCUUGGUGGUCCAAGCUGAGCUAACACAGUCAGCAUUCCAGAACACAAGGAGCCCGAGGAGAGACUCCAAAGGCACUGCUUUUGAUUUGGGUAGGCAAAGCUGGAACUGCACAUGUCAAUUCCACUCACCUCCAUUGGUGAGAGUGGAGUCACAAGGCCCUGCCUCACCACCGGAAAGGCUGGGAAAUGUAGUUUCCAGUGGGAUGGAUGCAUGUCCAGGAAGAAAGGGCAAAGAGACGUUGGAGCUUUGGAGGAACAGUUACCAGUAUGCCACACCACAUUUUCUAUAUACUUUUUCCUUCUUUUUCUUUCCUUUCUCGCUUCUUUAUUUUCCUUAUCCCUUUCUCUUUUCUUUCUCUCUGGACUAGCCAUAAUAUGGAAAGUGUAUGUAUGUGUAUAUAUCUACAUAAACACACACAGUAUGUAUAGAGAGAGCAUAUAUAUAUAUAUAUUUAUGUAUAUAUACAGUCAUAUAGAUAUAUAUAUGCUUUUUCUGUAUACACAUACACACACACACACACACACACACACACACACGCUGAAUUGGAAGAGCCUGAGAGGCACCUGCAGCCUGCGGAGAGGAAAUGCCACCCACACAGUACUUCCCUGAGUCCAUUCUUUCUCUGCUCCUCGGCCUGUGGUUUUGUCUUUCAUGCAGGCCUCCCUUCCCCACAGAUCCCAGGUGCAAAGAAGGUGGGACUUCUGUCAGUUCUAAGCUGUGUGCUCAGCUUGUGAGUGAAUGGGCUCAAGACUCACACUGUGACAGGAGGGAAGGAGCACAAAGGGAAGAAUCAUCCCUCCCUCUGCACUCACUCUCUGCAUUGUCACUGGCGGGCUUGAUCCCCUGCCAUUCAUCCUAACAGCAGCCAGGCUCAACCAUCUGACAGAAUCUGCUCAUGCUCUUAUGAGCCUAAUCCCUUGGGUCAAAGAGGCAGUUCCUAUCACUGAAAUAUCAGAAACGAAAUAGACCAGGAAUUGCCAAAGAGAGGGAUUAUAGAAUCCAACUUGGAAAUUCAGGCAGUGGGAAAGAAGUUAGUCACGUUCCAGCUAUUAUGCAUGCAACAAAUGUCUGAUAUUUUUUAAAAUUUGUUUUGGAGGGUGGUAGGGAAUGGAGUACAAAGAUGAUUUCUUUUUAAAUUCUUCAAAAUGUUACCUUCAUAAAGAAUGAACAAAUGUCAGGGACAGGCACAUCUUGGACUGAACUUCAAGUGAACUGAUGGCAGGCCUCACCGUUCUGAAAAUAUAAAAAUUGAAAGCUGCCAGGGCUCAGAGCAGACCAUGCAUUUGCAUCCUAUUUAAAUAAUGUGCAAGAAUCUUUGGUUGAAUGAGGAGUUUUUAGCCUUGUCAGAGAACUUUGGAAGUACUUAGAAUGGAACUGCCAAGGAUACCCAUGGGCCAUGUCACGCGACAGCUUGAAACCAGCCCAAAUGCCCUCAAGGAGACAUUCCCAAACCUGCGAGAGAAGAGCCUUCUGCAUUUCCACGGCAAGCAAGGUACACCUGUCAGAAACUUUCUCUAGGUGCAUCUGGUCUAAAGAGUAGUACUUUCUGGUGCUUGAAUUAUGAGACAGAAUCUCCUCUUGCCAUCUGCCAGGGUAGUUCAGCUGCUGAGAUUCACAUUUUUGCCAAACAGUUCCUACAGUCUAGGGCCUAGGGUUCUGCCCUGGUAUGUUCUCUAUCUGCACUGAUAUCCUGGGUUUACCUACAGGGAACCAAAGGUCACUCAAAGCCCUGAAAGAUAACAGAAUAAGUGUGUGUAAAGAAAAUCACACACCAUAACCAUCAUGUAGUGUAUGCUCAGUCAACAUUCACUGAGAGAGUUAAAAGGAAAACUAGAGAAUCCUGUCUUUGAAAAAGUAUGAUCCUCUUGGGUCAGUGGCCAGGCCAUAUGGAACUCUACAAAGCGGAAUUAAUUCUACAUACUAGAUAUACAAAGCAACCAUUUAUUAUUACCAAAUUCAACUUGUAACCUGAGAUAAGGUCAUCUGGAUGACCCAGGUAGGGGAAAAACAUAGAAGAAUUACUGUCAAUUCUGAUGUGUAUUAAAGGCAAUGUUGUUUUGUUUUGUGUAUACCCUGAUCACUGCAUAACCCACACCUCCUCAAACGGUUUGGAAAACUUCCUGAUGAAUUGGCCCCCACGCAUCAGGACUGAAGAAAAGUUUUCUGUUAGGAGUGUUAGGAGUGUGCCUGGAAGAAAAAGAACACCCCUUGUCUAUAGAGAUAAAUCAUUUCCAUCAAUAAAUGGACUUUGGUGGCAGAUUAAAGAUGGCUUCAAAUUAUAGGACACUCCUGCUAUUGAGCAAUGGCCUCUAUUUCCCCUUCUCUGAGUUGAGGUGGCCUGUGGCUACUUUGACCAGUAGAGCGUGGUGGAAGUGAUGCUAUGCUACUUUGGGGACUGGCAGGUCCUGCCUUGGUCUUCAGGCCCUGAGCUGCCCUGUGAAAGAUCCAACUACACUGCUAGAGAGACACUUUGGGGCUCAAAGAGAGGCAGAAGGACCAGGUGAGCCCAGCAGUCCAGCUGUCCCACCAAGGCCCCAGGUGAAUGAGUGAAGCCGUCAGAUGCUCCAGGCCAGUCCAGCUGCCAGCUGAACGCCACUGAAUGACCCCAGCCAAUGCCACAUGGAGCAGAACAAUUGACCAGCCAAUUCCUGCUCAAUGUCUUCACCCACAAAGGACUCAUAAAGACUGGCUAUAGUUUUAAAUCCAUUAAGUUUUAAAGUUUUCACACAGCCAUAGAUAACCUGAAAACCAUAUGUAUGGUUAUAAAAUUGAAUUAGCAUGAAGUGAUAAAUUAUGAAUCUCCUACAGCCAUAGGGACCAUCUUUUUCUAUUUUCAGAGCAGGGGAUGAUCUGGUGGGUUUGAGAGAGGCAGAGACAAACUGUUCUAGAAAGUUGGAGAUAUUGGAUCACCAAAACUAAAAUAAAUAGCAUUGAGUUCAGGCACCCAGUGAGGAAGUACUGCUCCAGGAGCAGACCUAGGUCUUGCUGUGUCCCUCUGUGACUGCAGCAGGCUCCGCCCCCCUCCACACUCCCUCGGGCUUGCAGUUCCUCCUGGCUCCCUGGAAUAUCAGCAUCCGCAGUCCUUCUUUAAGAGGCAGCCAGCAGGAACGCCUCCCUUGCUUCUGCGCCUCCCUUGAUGGGGAGGAGCCACCAAGGCUACCAGCUGCUGGCCUCCUGAGUGACAAAACCAGCAGCCAUAUUAGAGUGAAGAGGCCUGGUUGUGGAGGGCUGUGCGCUCAGCGUGGAAUUAUAGCAGUUCAUUUUCUAAAGUGCCACGAGACCUGGGGAUGAACCUUCCGAGAGAAGGGAAAACCACAACAGCAGUCCCCUCGUAGAGAUGCAAUUCAUCAUGGGCAGGACGGCUGGGUCUGUCAACAGGAAGGGCUCUUUUCCCUGUGACGCACAAAAGCAAUCCCACGGGCUCUGUGUUGCAGCAAGAGGACCCUGAACUCCCUCAGACACCCUGGCUGUGUGCAGGGAGCCUCCGAAAUCCAGAGACGGGAGGCAUGCAUCGCCAUCGUUUCCUGUCCAAAACAAGCACUGGGGAUUCUGAGGAACCUCUGAGGAGCACCCUGCCUUUACUUGCAGUUCUUCCAGAGAGAUGUUGGAGCUGACAACUGGAGACAAUAUGGCUUGGUGACAACAUCAUAAAAGGUAUGCCAAUGAAAUGUGUAUAUGUCUCCUCAGCUUAUGCAUGCAUGUGCACACGCACAAGGCUAGAAUGAG